CGGACCUGACUGCUAUCGGAUUGAUACUAGGCCAUGCGAGUCAUUGUAGCAAUACAAGGCAUACGGCUCAGUAACGCGUAGUCAACCUAACCUAUGGACGGGAAUAACCUCAGGAAACUGAGAAUAAUGCCCGAUAGAACAUUAUGCCUGGAAUGGUUUAUGUUCCAAAUGAUUUAUCGCCGUAGGAUGGGACUGCGGCCUAUCAGUUUGUUGGUGAGGUAAUGGCCCACCAAGACUAUUACAGGUACGGGCUCUGAGAGGAGUAGCCCGGAGAUGGGUACUGAGACACGGACCCAGGCCCUAUGGGGCGCAGCAGGCGAGAAAACUUUGCAAUGUGCGAAAGCACGACAAGGUUAAUCCGAGUGGUUUCUGCUAAAGGAACCUUUUGUCAGUCCUAGAAACACUGAUGAAUAAGGGGUGGGCAAGUUCUGGUGUCAGCCGCCGCGGUAAAACCAGCACCUCAAGUGGUCAGGAUGAUUAUUGGGCCUAAAGCAUACGUAGCCGGCUCUGUAAGUUUUCGGUUAAAUCUGUACGCUCAACGUACAGGCUGCCGGGAAUACUGCAAAGCUAGGGAGUGGGAGAGGUAGACGGUACUCGGUAGGAAGGGGUAAAAUCCUUUGAUCUAUUGAUGACCACCUGUGGCGAAGGCGGUCUACCAGAACACGUCCGACGGUGAGGGAUGAAAGCUGGGGGAGCAAACCGGAUUAGAUACCCGGGUAGUCCCAGCUGUAAACCAUGCAAACUCAGUGAUGCAUUGGCUUGUGGCCAAUGCAGUGCUGCAGGGAAGCCGUUAAGUUUGCCGCCUGGGAAGUACGUACGCAAGUAUGAAACUUAAAGGAAUUGGCGGGG
rnacentral:rRNA from 1 species